ACCAAGUUUGGCCUGCUGUUUUCCAGAAGGAGCCGCAAAGAAGCUUAAAAUAUGCAUUUCUGUCUCCCUCUGGAGAUUACUGUGCUUUCACCAUUUUACUUUCAUCUGGAUUGAGCACUGCUAUUCAGAUUUAACAACGGCGCAGGCCAAGUAAGGGAGCAUAAUGUUGAUCCUGCUUAGUUGGCCGUGUCUAAUCCAGCUGUUCCUAAUAUACUUUGGCUUGAAUUCAUGCCACUUAAUUGAAAGGUCUAAAAUAAGGGCUAGAGAGAUGUUUGUCUGGAUGGUGACUUGCAUGUUGGUGGGUAGAGGUGUCCCUCUCUCUACUGACCAUAGAGGAAGCUGAGUGUUAUGGUCUACCUAUAUUGGGUGUUUUACACGAGUGCCUAAAGCUGAGUCAGGUGGAGUUAAGCCAAGUGUUGGAGGGUGCAAGCAAAGCAUGGGACACCCACUGUCUGUGUCACCUUUUGCAGCUUUGUUGCUACUUGGGUUAGAAGAAAUUCUACUUACAAUUUUGUGGGGCUGCAAACCCUUGCCUUCACUGGAAAUAUAAAUAUUCUUCAAUUUUGUCAUAUUAAGACGGUGUCCUCUAAAUAACCUACUUGAUAGAAUAAAGCAACUUUUGGGAAAGCAUAAGCAAUCAGCAGAAAUCAGGUUCAGAUUUUUUUUUUAAAUAAUCUUUGCUUCUGAGGUUAAAAUAACAAGAACCAGAUGUAAAACUGCAGAUAUGUUCAGGACUUUGAAUUCACUUUGUGAGUUACGAUGUUGUGGCUUGGAGAGAGAGAGGCAAGCAGAAAGAGCCCUGCGUUCUGCCAAAUGGGCAGGAAUGUGAAGUUCUCUUGUUUCUCACUUCUGAGAAAUGGAGUAAAAAAACCUGAUGCUUGCAUAAGUAGUUCUGGCUCAUCUAUCUGAAUUUGCUUUCCCAAAGGAAGAGUCGUAUUCAGACUAAACUUUGUUAGAUACUGUACGUUUUUUUCCUCCUGCAAGUAAUUGAAGUUUUAUGAACAUUAAGUAGAACUUAUGCAAAUAAUAAGUAAGAAACUUAUUUCCAGCAGAAGUGUUAAAUAAAAGCUGCACGAUCUUCCAGGCUACCAUUGUUGUAGUGAUACAAUAACUCACUGGAUAUUUUCUGCCCUUUUUCUAGGAGCUGGCAUCUCAUCCAGGGUAUGUUUGGAAGAUGAACAAAAGGGUUUGAUUUGUUGAUAAACGUUACCCUCUCUCUUUGGUGCAAAGAGCAAAUGACCGAUCUCCGGCCUUCUCCCUGAAAAAUGCUUCUUCCUCACUGCUGUCAGUAUCUGCCCAAGUAUUUUCUGCCUCCUUGUCUCUUGCUAAACUCUGAGUUUGCAGAUGAUGAUGCCUUAAUAAAUUAGUGGGUUGGAAAGGAGGGACGCUAAUGAAGUUUGUCUUAAUGGGAGGCUGUGAAAGUGAAUCUGCUAGGGCUGGUUUUCUGAGUUUUUCAAGGCUCCUCCAUGAGAGGGAUGGUAAAUAUUUCUUGCACAAAGAGACCUUUUUGCAUUAAGAGUCUGAUGCCUGCCAUGCUGUGUAUGCCACAGCAAACCAGAGCUCAGGAAGGUACUGAAACAGAAGUGCUGUUUUUUUCAAAUUGACUCCCUUUCAUGGAGAUCUUAGUUCUGAC
rnacentral:lncRNA from 1 species